GACAGGGAUGCUGGCCACUGGGGACAACUGCAUCCCUGGGAAGUCGGAACGAGCUGCCGAGAUAGCCCGAUUCCGUCCUUCCAGCACUACCUGCUUGCGACUCUGAAAAAAAUCAUGACAGCAUCAGCGCUGGUGAACGACCCAGCCCCUCCAGGCAGAGUGGGCCUCGCCUGGGGAAGUCAGCGGGGAUGGCCGCCUGAAGCCAUUCUCUGGGCUCCCCAACGCUGCUCAUCCUGGCUCAAUUGCUCUCACUUGCAGUAAAUGACUCCAUAAGCACCGAAUCAGACCAUUGAUCCUUUUUAUUAGAUUACCCAAUUGUAAGGUUAAUGCAUUUGCAUUUGGCAAACGGAGUCGGUCAUCUCGAAUCCCUAGCAGGGAUCAGCGUUUAAAAGGACACAUGCGGGAGCAACUCUGUCAACACACAGAUUUGCUGGCAGCAGUAGCC
rnacentral:lncRNA from 1 species